GGUCACCUGAGUGUCCAUCGGUAAACACAAGAAGGAAUCUUCAUCAUUCCAAUGUUCACUCCUCCGUCAGGGCGUAGGACUCUGUGAUUAUCAAAACUGACCUGGAUUAUAAAUUUGGAGAGUUCCCUUGAACUUAACAGACUCCCAGAAUUUGUAGGCUUUUAGCUUUGAUUUUUUUUUUUUCUUGUUAAAAGUUAAGCUGAUACGGCUAAUCCAAAUGCCGGAUCACAGACCCACGGGGAGUGUUUGAUCCUCGGGAUACUUAAGGGUAGGGAAUUGUAAGGCCAGUUAGAAAUGUCCGCUAGACCUGGCUGGAGCCUGGCCUGAGCCUUUGUCUUCACUGCAGCUGGUCUAAAAGUGGUUCCCUUGAUCCGGUUCUGUGAUUAGGGGUGUGGGCAAGGCUAUAGGAAAGGAAAGCAGCUGGAUGGUUUUUUUGUUUGUUUGUUUCAAUAGGGACACGGUCUUCUCUUCAUCCCCAGCCACUGAGUACAUUUCCUGGCAAGUCUCUGGGUUCACCAACAGGCUAACCAGCGCUGAUAACCAGGAGAACAGCAGAGCUGCGCACCCCUAUCUCCCUGGGUGCGUACGGAGCAGCCCAGCCUGGAGCGGCACGUAUCAGAGCCUUCAACGAGCCCUUAAUAAGGUCUUUAUCCCUUCACUUUCCUUUUUUUUUUUUUUUUUUUAAUCCCUUCACCUUUCUGAUCAUAAAGUAAUAUAGUUUUUGGUAGAAAAAAAUCUAGAAAACAUGGAGAGAAUAUAAAGAAGAAGACAAAAAUUGUAGUCUUGCCGUUCCUGUAUAACUAUUGCUCUACUGGAAUAUUUUCAAAAUACAUAUUGUGUAUUUGGAAUUAUGCUGUGUGAGGUCUACGCUUUGGUUUUUUUCACUGCAACUUUUAUGGUGAGCAUUGUUGCCUGUGAUUCCAACUUCUUUAGAAGCGUGGUGGCUGCAGACUAUUUUCUUGACAUACCAUAAAUUUAUGUAACUAUCACCGGGCUUUAGCCAAUUAUUUAAUCAGUGUUCUUCUAUGGAGUCAGGACUUCUCCACUGUGACUUAAAUGGAAGUUGAAUAUAUCUCUCUGUAGGAACAUAUGACCGCUGUGUCCUUUUAGGAUGCCUGAAACUCCCUUAUUUGCUGGUGAAGACACUUGGGCAUUGGUUUCAUUGCAAACUGUAACAGACAAGGAAUUAGCAAAAGGUGUAGGGGGGCGGCUCUUGGAGGUCUGAAAACUGCCAAGGGCCAAGGCUACCACGUGGAAUACUUUGUUUCUUCUCGGGUCCCCUCCCUCCUUUUUCUGAUUUACCCCCACUUCUGUGGGGUAGCCAUUUUGGACGAUGUGACUUUAUCUCCUGACUAUAGUCCCUAGUUCCAGAUUUGGGCGUGUGAUAUAAACCGAACCAAUUAGCAUCAUAUUCUGAGACUUUGGGCUAAAACGGAGAAACAUCUUCAACGACCUGUCUGACAACUGAAGCUGUAAGAUGUGACGUUCCAGAGCUGCUGGUGGCCAAGUUUACUGCCAUAUGGACAAGAGAAACAGAGAGGGCAGUUGAGAGGGUGUGAAAGUCAGGGUGAAAGAAGGGACAGCGGGAGAGAGAGGGGGGAAGCAGACGUGGAGGGGAGCAACGAUGAGCCCCGAGAAGCGGAGAGGGAAAUCCUGGCAUUUAAAGGACCGAUGGUGGCUGCUCCACAGACUUUGAUUCUCAUGGGAAUACUAAGAAUUCUUAUAAAAGUUCCCCCUCUUUUCCCUUUAUUUGGUUGACAUUGGUUUCCUGUCACUUGAAAUCAAAGCCAUUCUUACUCUUACCCUGACUGUGAUUGUAAAACCCGGCCCAAGCCCUAGAUACUCUUUCUACCCACUCUUUUCCUUGGGGGAACAUUCUCAUAUAGAACCUUCCUUAGAGGGGGAACCGGAGAUCUGUGAAAUUUUAAAAGUGUUGAGGAUGAACCUGCUCAACUAUUAGGGACUAAAGAAUGUGGGGUUUGCCAUUUUACCCCAGAAAAUUCCCCCAUUGCCUCUGGAGCACACCGAGGCCUCACAAUUCCACCACCUUGUGAGGUGUGGUAUCGUAUCUUAAUGAAGUCCUUAAGAAUACUGCUGAGACUCUCAAUGAAUUCUGCUUAAAAAAGAGGGCUCUGUGAGCACCUCCGAUGUGCAAAUCACUGUCCUAACUGAGCUUAAGGAUACAAAGGAACUCACAGCAAAAACAUCGUGUGCCCAGGUGAGGUGUAUUCUGGUCUGAAUAUAGAACAGCCAAAGGUGAGAGAUGCAGAAAACAAAUACCCCAGAGGUCCAGAGUAGAGUGGGUCCCCUGCAGUGGGGCAGUCAUGAAGCCCUUCGUGUACGAGGUGGGGCUUGCACUGGUCCACAAAGGAAAGGGCGAGCUGAGACCCUGGACCAAAGUAUGCAGAGCUCUCUUAGGUAAAGAGGUUGCUAGAAACAUUGUGAUGGGAUCGUGGCUCCUGGGAAUUAUGUCGAUCUCAAAUUGAUUAUUUAUUGGUUUGGCCGGAGCAGAGCCACUGGUCACUUUUGUGGGGCCAAAAAAUCAACUGCUGAUGGAUUUAUUUAAUGAUCUGUCUGAGUAGCCUGGGAGAUUAUAGGGCAGGCUGGCAAAACACACACAAACCUUUAGUUCUUAUCUCCAAAGCUAAUUAGGCUCUUCACAGUGAAUUAAAUUUUCCAUUUCUCUUAAACGUUCUAUUUCAUUUUGGAGAAAUAAGACUAUUUAAACGAUUGCAGUUUCAGGACUGUGGAGGACUUUAGGACCAACGCUCCCUGUGUGUUUCCACUCUUUGCUCUGCUUCUAAGAACAAUGUAAAGAUUCAAUUUAGUAAGACUUUAGUCAAGACAGAUACUUGGCUUUGACUAAAAGGUAGAUUUGCAUUGAAAAUGGCAGAAGGGAACAGCAUAGGGAAGGCUUGCUGUUUUAACUGUAGAUCUCGAUGGGUACGCGGAGCAUGAAUUCUUCAGUGAUUCCAGUCGUAGGAUGAAGUGUGACAUAGGUCAAGGUAGAACUAAACAGAAGGGCCGUGCUUUGAAUGGGUUCUUUUUCCCCUCUUGAGGUGCAGCAGACUUUGAGAGAAUGCUUUUGGUAAAAUCUUCACUAUAUUAAUGAGCAAUGAUAUAAAUUUUGGGUUCCUGGCAUUCGACACACAAGGAAUUUAUUUUAUGAAGUGAGUCACUGAGGCUCUGCAUAAAGUAGGUGGUUUCAAACAUUAAACCAUUGGUGUAAAACCUACAGCAUAAAGCAUGAAUAUUCACAGUCUUGGCUCUGGAUUGCGUGAAACCUGGAUUAUAGCAGGGACUCCUCAGAUGUCAGAGUAUCCUUAACGGCAUAGUAUUAUUUGUACCAUUCAUCUGCUAAUAAUAAUCGACUGCCUUGUGCCCCCGUUUGUACUGUCGUCUGGUGUUGUAAUAAUGCACUAUAGCACAGUGGGUGACAAAUGUCCUGCUUGGAAUUCUGACUCUGACUUUUAUGUGGGUGAGAUUUACAUACCCUUUCUGUACUCCAUUUUUCCUGUUUAUUUUUCAGCUUUAUUGAGAUAUUUUUGUCAUGUAAGUAAGUUUAAGGUAUAUAAUGUGAUGAUUUGAUAUACAUAUGUAUUGUGAACCAUAAUAAAGUUGGUUAAUAUUUCCA
rnacentral:lncRNA from 12 species